rnacentral:rRNA from 1 species
CGGACGGGUGAGUAAUGCUUGGGAAUCUGGCUUAUGGAGGGGGAUAACUACGGGAAACUGUAGCUAAUACCGCGUAAUAUCUUCGGAUUAAAGGGUGGGACUUUCGGGCCACCUGCCAUAAGAUGAGCCCAAGUGGGAUUAGGUAGUUGGUGGGGUAAAGGCCUACCAAGCCGACGAUCUCUAGCUGGUCUGAGAGGAUGACCAGUCACACUGGAACUGAGACACGGUCCAGACUCCUACGGGAGGCAGCAGUGGGGAAUAUUGCACAAUGGGGGGAACCCUGAUGCAGCCAUGCCGCGUGAAUGAAGAAGGCCUUCGGGUUGUAAAGUUCUUUCGGUGAUGAGGAAGGUGUUUGUUUUAAUAGAGCAAGCAAUUGACGUUAGUCACAGAAGAAGCACCGGCUAACUCCGUGCCAGCAGCCGCGGUAAUACGGAGGGUGCGAGCGUUAAUCGGAAUGACUGGGCGUAAAGGGCACGCAGGCGGUGACUUAAGUGAGAUGUGAAAGCCCCGAGCUUAACUUGGGAAUUGCAUUUCAUACUGGGUCGCUAGAGUAUUUUAGGGAGGGGUAGAAUUCCACGUGUAGCGGUGAAAUGCGUAGAGAUGUGGAGGAAUACCGAAGGCGAAGGCAGCCCCUUGGGAAUAUACUGACGCUCAUGUGCGAAAGCGUGGGGAGCAAACAGGAUUAGAUACCCUGGUAGUCCACGCUGUAAACGCUGUCGAUUUGGGGAUUGGGCUUAGAGCUUGGUGCCCGUAGCUAACGUGAUAAAUCGACCGCCUGGGGAGUACGGCCGCAAGGUUAAAACU